UCCCUCUUAGCUCAGUUGGUAGAGCGCGUCACUAGUAUCGCGUAUAGCGCGGAGAUCUUUCAUAAUGACGAGGUCAGUCGUUCAAGUCGGCUAGAGGGAA